ACGGUAACAGGAAGCAGCUUGCUGCUUCGCUGACGAGUGGCGGACGGGUGAGUAAUGUCUGGGAAGCUGCCUGAUGGAGGGGGAUAACUACUGGAAACGGUAGCUAAUACCGCAUAAUGUCGCAAGACCAAAGAGGGGGACCUUCGGGCCUCUUGCCAUCGGAUGUGCCCAGAUGGGAUUAGCUUGUUGGUGGGGUAACGGCUCACCAAGGCGACGAUCCCUAGCUGGUCUGAGAGGAUGACCAGCCACACUGGAACUGAGACACGGUCCAGACUCCUACGGGAGGCAGCAGUGGGGAAUAUUGCACAAUGGGCGCAAGCCUGAUGCAGCCAUGCCGCGUGUAUGAAGAAGGCCUUCGGGUUGUAAAGUACUUUCAGCGGGGAGGAAGGGAGUAAAGUUAAUACCUUUGCUCAUUGACGUUACCCGCAGAAGAAGCACCGGCUAACUCCGUGCCAGCAGCCGCGGUAAUACGGAGGGUGCAAGCGUUAAUCGGAAUUACUGGGCGUAAAGCGCACGCAGGCGGUUUGUUAAGUCAGAUGUGAAAUCCCCGGGCUCAACCUGGGAACUGCAUCUGAUACUGGCAAGCUUGAGUCUCGUAGAGGGGGGUAGAAUUCCAGGUGUAGCGGUGAAAUGCGUAGAGAUCUGGAGGAAUACCGGUGGCGAAGGCGGCCCCCUGGACGAAGACUGACGCUCAGGUGCGAAAGCGUGGGGAGC
rnacentral:rRNA from 1 species